GCUUUUCAAAAGCUGUAUGCUUGUGUAUAUAUGUGUGUGUGUGCCGUUGGGCAAAUAAUCCUCAUAAUCACAGUCAACAGCAGUUUCGUCGCAGUGACGAAUGUUCUCAGCGUUCAAGUCAUUUGAGAAGUCGACUGGAUGCGCUGACUUCUUCUAUGGACAAAUAUUUAUAUACAAACUUGCUUACUUUAUAACAUUUUUUGUUUUUGUUUUAAAAUAUGUAUAAGCCAUUUUGACCGCCAUGAGAGCUCGAAUUUCGUGCUUACAUUUCAACACAUAGUAUAUGUAUUUUGUUCAGUAUAUGUGUAUGUGUGUGCGUGUUUGUGUUGGUGUUGGCGUACAAGUUAGCGUAAUUGUGUCAGCCACAGGCGUUCAAGUAGUACGCCGCUUAGCUGGAAUAGAGCAGCUGGCUGGCUGGCUGUCAACAAGCGGCCAGUCAGGAAAGCAGGAGCCAGCCGACCACUGAGCCAGCGCAAGAAACGCACUUGAAACUUGUAUAAACAAACACAUAUGCACUUGUGCAUAUACGCGAGUUGCCCGAUUGAGCGAGCGCCACUCACGCAGUGGGCAAUGGCAAUUAAAUCCAGUCUGGCCUGGUGUCGAUUGCUGGCGUUUUGUAAGGCACUCGGUCAGCAACGCUAACCGACAGCAGCAGCAGCAAAGCAUUGUUGUUGGCGACUUUUAGCCAUAAGUAUAAUUAUCGCUUUAGUUAUAGAAGAAGCAGAAAAUUCAGAAAAAGAAGAGGCAGAAGUACAAGUAGAAGCAGAGGAAGCAGUUGCUGUGCGGUUGUGGUAGCCUUCAGGAAAUUAGAUAUUCAGCAGCCGUUAGGAAAUGAAAGAUUUUGUAGGCUCCGCUGUGCGCCAUGCGGCUGGCAGUGGUUCAUAGCAUCAAAGUCCAUAACUCUGCAUGCAAAGUCCAUACUUUUUCAUUCGCCAAGCAUCGCUAUAAAGCUGUCUAGCAAUCGCUUUACAAUAUCUUGCUUUACUUUAAAUCAUAUCCGUUUGCUGCGGAGAUAGUAGGAAGCACGAAAUAAAUAUUCGCCGGAAAUGAAUUGUAUUUAAACGCGGCCAAAGCGCCAUCAUACCCUUCUCACAAUCUCGUUUGGAUCCUCAAACAAGCGCACUGCCUCGUUUCGACCCUCAAACAAGCUCACUGCCUACGUACGCUGUGUGCUGGUGCUUACCUUCAACGUUCUUACCACUUAAAAAUUGAUUGAAUUGCAUAGAUAUUAAAUAACGUCGCCUUUUGACGUGAUUGCUUCGAAUCAUACACAAAUCUAGCAGCCAGAUACUCGUAUACCACGGCAAGUUUAUCGUAAGCCCAGCUGUCAGUUGUGUCAGUUGGUAGGUAUGCGGUUGUGGGUGUGUGUCUUUCGAUUUACUUGUCAAGGAAACGGCUUUUCCAUUCCUCAGAUGCAAAUGGAUUUUCCAUUCAAAUAAGAAUUGUGUUGUAAGCGGGCGGAUGUAUUGGCUGCGCUUAGUCGCUCGGGCUUGUAGCAGCGCGCGGCGUGCGGUUGACCUUUCUCAUCGAAUGGAUGUCAAUGGUGUGCCAUAAACUGUGAUUGAAGUGUGUGUUUGAAGGCUGAGAAAAUUGUAAUAAAAAGUGUUGGCAUGUGCCGUAAAGUGUGUGCGGCGAAAUUAAGUGAUUGGAUAAGCGUUCAAUGAUUUUCAUUGUCUUGCAAGCGCAUAAAGUGAGCUGAUUUUUCCAGAAGCCCGAAGCCUGUACUGUUUCGUGCAAUUUUCACGCUAAUUAUUUGUGUGCGUCGUGGAGCAGCUGAUUGAUUUGAAAAUUAAUUAACUGAUAAAAUGAAGUUGACGUUUGUGUUCUGCGUUAUUUUUGCUGUGAUGAGGUUUUCAAUAAAGAGCGUUAUUUUAUAAAAGUUUUCAAAAAAUAGCAAGAAACAAAAAAAAAACGUUGACAGCUGCCCAGAAGCUAUACUAUCGAUAUUGAUGAGAACUAAGUUGCUUUUCAGCUUUUUGUAUUGAAGUUUUGUAGCAAUUUUAGCAAAACAAUUCCAUUAUGAACCGAAAAAAGUAGGUAUUAGCAGUUCGCUCGAGCGUUAACUUGGUGUUUCUUUGGUUAUGCCAGGCUAACGCGCAUACUAACUACACUUUCCUUAAUCAAUGAACAAAUUUUAGUUUUCUGCUAACUCUUCCAUGAUCUCAAGUCUUUUGGAGGGUCUUUUGCAAGGCUUGUUCUAGUUGUCCUACACGGAUAUUUGUCUUCAAACGAGCUGUAAGAGUCUUGCUUUUCCAUUUUUUUCUGUAUUUAUUACCAAAUGAAGUGUAUAACCAACUUUCAACUGUUUUUUCAGCCACCUUUUUAUAAAGAUUUUUCCUUUUUUUUGAUCACAAAUAUUGUUAACAUUCCUACGCGUUACUAAAAUGCUUUCCAAAAGCGCAACAAAGCAAAGAAUAUCCCAUAAAAGUGGAGAAAAACUCUCCAUUUUUGCUGUCAUUACACCUUUCGAGCGCGUAAAUGAGUUUGAAAUUAAAAGUAGGUGACCCCAAAAGCCAAUCGUACAGCAAAACGUGCUGUGAAUUGAAACGUCUUGACAGUUGUUGUAUUUAGUUUGUUGCUGCAGAUAAACAGUUUUUUUUGGUUAAACGAUUCUAAAAGAGUUGCACAUACAUACUUACACAUUGUAGUGAAGUCCAUAAUUAAGUACUCACUUUUCUUCAGUCUUAAUUUAUGUAUUACUUUUAACGGUGCGGAUUGCUUUACUUUAAUUGGGUGCUCAAAAUGCGUCGUCUUAUUGGUAAAGUAAAUAAAGUUGAAUAAUUUAUUGCUGCUGAAUGAAAGUAAUGAAAAAUUUAGCGAAAUGCUUUAGAAAAAUAUAUAUUAAUUAUAAAAAGUGGAAAAGAAGUGAAGUCCAGCUGUUAUAACUUUCAUAUCAUGAAGUUUUCUUACAAGAUAUUGAUUUUGAGCGUUCACUUUAUAUGGCAGCUAUAUGCUAUAGUGGUCCGAUUUAUAAAAAAUUUUCCGAUAUUAAAGCAUUGACUUGGAAAGUAAUUUAUGCCAAAUUUCGUGCAGAUAUCUCGUGAAAUAAAAAAGUUUUCCAUAUAAGAACUUUAUUUUGAGCGUUCAGUUUGUAUGGCAGCUGUGUGCUACAGUUGUCCGAUCUUGAAAGUUUUUGCGGAUAUUAUGGCGUUGCUUCAGAAAAUAAUAGAUGCCAAAAUUCAUGAAGAUAUCUUGUAAAAUAAACAAGUUUUUCAUAUAAGAACUUGAUUUUGAGCGUUCAGUUUAUAUGGCAGCUAUAUGCUAUAGUGAUCGGAUCUAAACAAUUUCUUCGGAUAUUUUAUCUUUGUUUCAAAUAAUAAUGCCUGUUAAAUUUCGUGCAGAUAUCUCGUGAAAUAAAAAAGUUUUCCAUAUAAGAACUUGAUUUUGAGCGUUCAGUUUGUAUGACAGCUAUAUGCUAUAGUAAACCGAUCUGAACAAUUUCUUUGGAGAUUGUAGUAUAUCUUUACAACAUAAUCGCUGCCAAAUUUCGUGAAGAUAUCUCUUCAAAUAAAAAAGUUUUCCAUAUAAGGCUUGAAUUGUCAUCAGUCAAUUUUAUGGUAGCGAUGGCUAUACUGGAUAUCUGAGGAUAUAUUCUCUUCAAGGUAUAAAAAUAAUAUGAAUAUAAGUAUUAUAAAAACCAUAGCAGCGAUAUUUAGAAAAUUUUCUAUAUUUUUUUCUUACCUCAUGCAAUUCUUUUCUCGAACAAAAUGGAAAGCUAGAUAAAGCCUAUAAUUUUCGUCUGCGCGUAACCACUUUCAGCCGCUACGUAUUGUUAUUCGCAAAUAAUAUACUGCAAAUAAAUAAAAGCUACUUCAAUAAUAUAAUAAUAUUUAUCUACACGUGUAGAAAAUUCAGUUCACCGAUCACCAGUUAUUGGCACAAAAAUGCUCAAUAACAUUACUUGUAUUUACCUUUCGUACCCAUGUGUAUUACACACAGAGCUAACUAAACCUCAUUUCAACUGCAAUUCGCUAAUUUCUUCAAUACACACGUAUUUAUUUUUCAUAAUUCGCUAACUGAUUCAGCGCUUGGUUAGCUGCUUGGCCGACUGCGCGCCGCUGGCCGCUUGCUUCACUAACUUAGUGACUGACUGCUGGCCGCAGGCAGGGCUGCGCCCAUACACGCUGCACUUUUUGUGCUCCAUCUUCGUUACACAGGCAUACCCUUGCAACAUUUUCCACGUUCUCCACAUUUUACACAUUCUCAAAUGUGUUGUACUGUGAGUUUUUCGGUUGCCAAGCGGGCCUGGAUGUUCAGUUAGUUAACAUCGUUUCGGUGUUGUUGUUUUUGGGCCACUCAUAUUACUCAUAUUACUCAUAUUUUUAGCCACUGUACAUGAUUUGUAUUGUUGCCAGUUACUAAUAUAUCUCGUAUUACUCUGAUUAUUGCUUGUUGUUGUUUUUGUUGUUGUGGAUAUUGCUGCGCUUGGUUAGCGUUCGUUAGCGCUUGACUGUUGCGCUUUUGUGCGUCCAAGCAGAACCGAACAACGGCGCGUCAGAAAAAACAGCGCGCAACAACUGUAGGUUUAAACGACGCGCCACGCUAAUUGACUGCGCUGCGCGCCGCCGUACUGUCUGAUUGACUGACUGACUGACUGGCAUUCACUGGCGAGUUAGUUGGCUGACUGUUUGCCUUACUGACACUUAGAAUUGGAAUAAUGGCACAACGGAGCUGUAACAGCUAAGCUAACAGCGAGUGACGUGAUAAUAACUAAAGCAAUAACAGCAGCAACAACAACGACAACAACAGUUGCUAUGGUUGGCAGCAGUGAUGGGGACUGCUGCGGCAAUAUCAGUAAUGCGCGUAACUGUAACAGCACUUCGUCAACAACAACAACAACAAAAAAAAAAUAAAAAAACAACAAAAAGAAGAGAACAACAACAAGAAGAAGACAAGAAGAAGAAGGACGAAGAUAACAACAACAACAAAGUAACAUCAAUAAAGAGGCAACAACAACAAGGAAGACAACAACAACUAGACGAAAAAAGAACAAAGAAGAUAACGACAACAACAAAGCAACUGCAACAACAAGAAAGGAGACAACAACAACAAAAACAAAAGAUAACUACAACAACAACAAGUUAAAACACACAAAAUUAAACAAACAUAAAUAAUUAUGCAACAACAACAACAACAACAAAAAAGGACACAAAUAAAAAGACAACAACAAAAUCAUUAAAUAGCAAAAAUCUACAACAACUGCCAAUAUUCUUCUUUCUGUGCUCAUUCUCUGUUCGUGAUUUUCCAGCACAAAAAUUGUUGUUGUUACUAUGUUUAUGUGGGUGCUACAGCAAUUUAGUUGCACGCUCAGUGAUUUGCAACCAUUUACACUUCCAAAGCCAACUAAAGCAAGCUGUCGCUUGUCGUCGUAGCUGGCUUGUGUGUGGGAUGGGCGCUUGCGCUGCAGUUGCCGGCGCCAAGUCAAAUGAAAAGUUCAAUCGCGUCCAUUCUUUGAACACUGCGAUUAGCCUCUUGGAGGGUUGCAUUUAAUCCACUCACUUGCCAUUUACUCGUUUGCUGCAGUGUCACUGUGUCAGGCCGUGUUUUUAGCGUCACAGCCAGUCUGCCAUUGCCUCGUUGUGCUUUACAUUCACUCGUCGCGGCACAAAUAUUUAAUCGCCUACUUUUAUUAUUUGUUUAUUUGCUUUGGAACUCGUUUGUCAGAGUGUUGAUUCUCGCGCCUAUUUGCCAGUCAGUCACUCAACCGCUCGAAGCGGCUCUAAAACUCGCGCAAUCGCCACUCCACCUCCCCACACGAGAUUAGCGUUGUUUGGUCGCUGCUGAUUUGUUUACUAUUCACGCGCGGCACGAUCAUCUUUGUGUCAUUACCCCACCGCCGCCGCUCACAUUCGCCACGCGUGUACUCAUAUGCGCUGUGUAACUGUAUGCAGCUCUGCGCUUACCACCUGCCAUGUUGCAAGUUUAUUCGCUUUGCAAUCAUAUCACUUCGGUGUGUGUGUAUCUAACCGCUAGCUAUACACUUGCAUUGCACUCUGUGUCAUUCUACGUGCUCCAGCUCUGGCUCUGACUCGGUCUCCGGCUCCGGCUCUCACUCUGAUUCUGUGCCGCUUAUUUCUUUUGAUCUUCCUGUCGGCUCUUUUAUUUAGUGUUUUUUGCUUGCUCUCUUUUCAUUGCCGUUUCCUUGUUUCUGUUACUUGCGGCACUGUUGUGUCAUUAGCGUGUUAUCUUUUGUAUUUUAUCUUUCCGCCACCGGGCACACAAUAGUGCGGCUAACUAAGUAAAUUAAAUGUUUAUAUUUUUGUAAUUAUUUUGCUGGGAGCAUUACUCUCGGUGAUGUAUGUUAUCUGCGAAGAUCGAAGUGUUAGAGAUUUUUUAUGAUUCAGUAAGAAGUGCCAAGCUUUCUGAAGUGAGAUUUUUAGUAUCAUCAUUGAGUAUUUUAAAAGUCUGUUAUGACUUCCGCAAUAAAUAAUUCUAAUAAUACAAAGAUUGGACUCAAAUCGCUCAGUUUGUAUGGCAGCUAUAAGCUAUAGUAGCUCGAUCCGAACAAUUUCUUCGGAGAUUGUACCGUGGCUAUAGACAAUAAUCCAUGCCAAAUUUUGUGAAGAUAUCUUCUAAAAGAAAAAAGUUUCCCAUACAAGAACUUCAGUGUGAUCGCUCAGUUUCAGUUCGUUUCUUUAAGAGAAGAAGAAGAACUAUGAGAUCAAUAUUGAAAUGAGAUAUAGGAUCAGUGUGAUCAAGUAAUCAUCUAUAUGAGCCACCAAAAAUAUCAAAAAGUGCUAUAGUUUUGCAAGAACAGUUUUCCAAAAAGAGUAGAUGUUAGUUAGAGAGCUCUCUUCUAUAUCAUAUAUUGUCACCAAGGGCCAACACUCUGAACAAUUCCAAAAGCUUGCUGGCCCCAAUAGAGGUGAUGUGAUCCCUGUCCACGUAAAUGGAUCCAAGGACCUGGAAAUUGCAAAAACGAUCUAGAAUGAACGAUCUAGAAUCAGGCGUUCUGGAGUUUCCGGUUCCACGUCGCAAAACCGGCAGUUUGCACAAUAGACUAUGGCCAUGUUGGACAUAGAGUUUCUUUAGCCUACAGUGCCCAGUAUAGAGCGUGCCAAGAGGACGGACUUUGUUUCGGGGGAAGUUGGUCAUAUCUCUAAACCUUGCUAGGUUGUAACAUCCCAACAAAACGGUAAUUGGUAGUACAUGAUCGACGACCUUCGGUGAGAACAUCGUCGUCAUUCUACAACAUCGUCGUUUGUCUAUAUGUACAUUACCGAAAUUGACAUCAUCUUAGCAUGAUCUCACCGCUGCAGACAAGCUUUGUCUUUAACUUUUCGAAAAAAAAAGAAUCCGCAGACUAGCAAUAAUUUAUCGAUUUACCAAGCACAUGAUCACUUGUUUGUCCAAACAAUAAAAUACGACCCCUGCGCUCCCCGCCAGACACCGCAAACUGCAUUGAUUUGGUCUGCACCAGCUUGGUCUUCACGCGCCUCGAACAAAAAAGCAGUCAUUUGUUAAUUAUUGUAUUUUUCAACGUUCAGCCAAACCGCCAGCUGUUUGAACGCAGCUUGGUUUGUAUAAAGCGCUUCGUAAACCUGCUCCGGUUCUAAGCGCUGUUGGUGAUUUCUGCGCUUCUUGUUUUUGUUUUGCUUUGACGUAGCCAUCAUUAUAUUGUGUGAACAAAACAGACCGGCCCACGGGCGCCUAGUCAGCAAGUCGAUGCUGAUCGUGUGAUCGGCAGCAUAUAAACACACACACAAACAUCCAGCUUUGUGUGGCGAUAUGUGUGUUUGUAGCAUGAAAAAGUGGUGUGAAGAAACGUCAGUUCGUAGCGCAGCAAUUUACUGGUUGUUGUCUAGCCGUGUUUCUGUGUGUGUGUGUAUGUAUGGCUAUUAGUUGCUUGCUGGCCGCUCCUAUUGAUUUGCUGUCUGACCUUUAACGGCCAAUAGCAACAAAAACAAGUUUCGAAUGUGUGUAUCUGCCGAGAUCUUGCGGGAAGUUGGUAGUUUGUUCCUUCUUUCUAACUAUUGUUUUUGUUUUUGUUGUUUUGUUUCUAGUUUUAUUAGUUAUACCUUGGGUUAUACUUAUUAAUAUUUCAUUAGCGCUGAAAUGACUAACUAAAUGCUCGGUUGACGACUUAUGCGCUGUACUUAUAGCAAGUUGUUGUUGUUGUUUUUCUUGUUCGACGUUUGCGUAAAUCGUGGCAGAAGUGAUUUGAUAUAUACAAUAUAUGUGGAGUUGUAUGUGGCUUGGUGUUAGAAGUGGCGCGAUCGCGUUGUGCUAGGCUUACAAGCGAUGGUUUUUGGACCCUUAGUCUUUGAGAUACUGAUCUAAACUUUUGCACACAUCCUUUUCUUGCCAAAAAGCUGCUCAUUCGUCGGAGCCGUUGCUAUCGGACCACUAUAGCAUAUAGCUGUCAUACAAACUGACCGUUCAAAAACAAGUUUUUGUAUGAAAACUUUUUUAUUUAACGAUAUGUCUUCACGAAAUUUGGUAUGGUUUAUUCUUCAAAGCAAUGACACAAACUCAGGAGAAAUCGUUCAGAUCGGAGCACUAUAGCAUAUAGCUGUCAUACAAACUGACCGUUCAAAAACAAGUUUUUGUAUGAAAACUUUUUUAUUUGGCGAGGUAUCUUCACGAAAUUUGGUAUGGUUUAUUUUUCAAAGCAAUAACACAACCUCCGAAGAAAUUGUUCAGAUCGGAUCACUAUUGCAUAUAGCUGCCAUACAAACUUACCGUUCAAAAACAAGUUUUUGUAUGAAAACUUUUUCAUUUGGCGAGGUAUCUUCAUGAAAUUUUGUAUGGCUUAUUUUUCAAAGCAAUGGCACAACGUCCAAAGAAAUUUUUUCGAUCGGAUCACUAUAUCAUAUAGCGGUCACACAAACUGACCGUUUAAAAGCAAGUUUUUGUACGGAAACUUUUACUUGUGAAGUGUAUUAUAGCUUCAGUGCUCACGAGGUGGACGUUUUUUCGUGUAAUUUAUACACGUAAAGGGUGUUUAUAUGCGCGCGUCAAUAAAACAUGCUAUAAAAUAAUCAGUUCACUUCAUCUUAAGCUUGAAUUUGAAUGGUGUAACCAAAUUCCCACGAAAACUGAUUAAUAUGCGGUUGCAAAUUUCAUCAUAAUAAUAAUUAAAAAAAUUAGAAACAGUGAGUUACAAUUUCAAAAUUGAUAAACAAAAAUUCAACUAAAACGCGUAAAAUUAAAGUGAAUUGAAAUUGGAAUGCAAACGAUUUACUUUUGCGGUCGAAAAACUCUGCGCGCUCGGGCUGUUGGCUGAAGUCUGGCGUUUGGCGGCAGUGUGGUCGACCGCCGCUUUAAAUCGCGCCUUUCAUUAUUUUUGAUACGUUAAGGCACGACUGUAGUUGAUAUUUUCGUUGUUGCUUUGAGAUUACAUUUUGGGCGCUGCGGCCAAAGCUCGCAUUUUCAACACUUUCCGGCGUCAACGACGGGUGCUAUUGAACUUGCUGAAGGUUGUCGCGUCGGCGUCGUGAACUACCGCUAACGCCACGCUUGAUCCAUCAAUCAAACGCGCACGCUGUCACUGCUCGCGCCAAUUUUCGCUGUCGCCGCCAACGGCGCAGAUAAAAAUAACAAAAUAGUUGAAAAACAAAAUUAUAAUUUUAAAUUUGUCUUUGGUAUUCACUCUUUAAUAAACAUGCUCAUGUAAAAAAUUUACCGUUGAUUGCAAUAUUGCUCUGCUCGUAAAAUCAAUUGAAGUCAAAUGAACUCAAUCAAUUGCUCUUUUUGCUUACUCAUCCUUCAACGAGUGGCCAGCAGUUCAACGAUUAAAAGCCACGCUCGCUAAAAAUUCAAAUGCGUUUCCAACUCAUACAUAAAAUGUGCGUGUUUAAUUGAAGAUUAUUGCGCAGAAAUAAAAACACAAAUAAAAGCAAAUAAAAUUAGUAGCACGCACACAUUUAAAAUUGCGGACAAAAUUACUUUUAUUGCACUUCUUGCCGUUUAAUUGCAAAGUUAUUGCGCACGUGUAUUACAGGGUGCCACAUAUGCAAAUUAUUUUUUAUAUGCACAUUUGCGUACAAUAAUCGUAUGAGCUUAUGCCAAGUGUUGGAAGCUCAUUUGGCAAUGAAAUUGUACUAAAAUGUGAAUUAAUGUGAAUUUGGAAAAUUAAAAAUAAUUAACACUGCGUAUAUACAUAUAUACAUAUGUAUGUAUAUAUGGAAGUUUGUGAGAAAUGUGAAAACGUGAUAUAAAGGCUAAUUUCGGUUAUAAUGGAAAUUAGUUGAUGAAGUUGGUCAGCAGUAAGCUCAAAUAGAAGGAGAAAAUUUGUUUAUAAAAAUAAGAAAAUAUAAUAAAAUUACAAAGAACUUGAAAUAGACAUAAACUAAAAUAAAAAAAUUAUAUUUAAAAAUUAUUAAACUAAAAAAAAUUAAAAUUAAAAAAA